GUAGGUGGCAAGCGUUGUCCGGAAUUAUUGGGCGUAAAGCGCGCGCAGGCGGUCCCUUAAGUCUGAUGUGAAAGCCCACGGCUCAACCGUGGAGGGUCAUUGGAAACUGGGGGACUUGAGUACAGAAGAGGAAAGCGGAAUUCCAAGUGUAGCGGUGAAAUGCGUAGAGAUUUGGAGGAACACCAGUGGCGAAGGCGGCUUUCUGGUCUGUAACUGACGCUGAGGCGCGAAAGCGUGGGGAGCAAACAGGGAUUAGAUACCCUGGUAGUCCACGCCGUAAACGAUGAGUGCUAAGUGUUAGGGGGGUUUCCGCCCCCUUAGUGCUGCAGCUAACGCAUUAAGCACUCCGCCUGGGGAUACGGCCGCAAGGCUG
rnacentral:rRNA from 1 species